rnacentral:misc_RNA from 1 species
GUGCGUUCUAACCCCAAGGUCACCAUACACGGGAGUGUUCUCAGCUCCAACACGCAUCGAACUUCCUUUUCCGGAUUCCAGCUCUACUAAAUGAACUUCAUUUUUUUUUUACUGCCAGUUCGAAUUUUCUCUGCAUUUUGGCAAGAAUGGCAGGUUUUAGUUUUUAAGUUUAUUCGUUUGGAAAUGUUGUAUGGUGUGAUAUCUGAAUGCAAGCAAUAAGUCUCUAACCGGUUCUUUUAUAAAAUUAGUUGACAGGAAUAAAAAUACAUGUACUAUUAC